AACGAACGCUGGCGGCAUGCCUAACACAUGCAAGUCGAACGAGACCUUCGGGUCUAGUGGCGCACGGGUGCGUAACGCGUGGGAACCUGCCCUUAGGUUCGGAAUAACUCCCCGAAAGGGGUGCUAAUACCGGAUAAUGUCUUCGGACCAAAGAUUUAUCGCCUUUGGAUGGGCCCGCGUUGGAUUAGCUAGUUGGUAGGGUAAAAGCCUACCAAGGCGACGAUCCAUAGCUGGUCUGAGAGGAUGAUCAGCCACACUGGGACUGAGACACGGCCCAGACUCCUACGGGAGGCAGCAGUGGGGAAUAUUGGACAAUGGGCGAAAGCCUGAUCCGGCAAUGCCGCGUGAGUGAUGAAGGCCUUAGGGUUGUAAAGCUCUUUUACCAGGGAUGAUAAUGACAGUACCGGGAGAAUAAGCUCCGGCUAACUCCGUG
rnacentral:rRNA from 1 species